GCGAGUUGGUGCUAAUCCUAGAAAUUUCUUCGUAGUCCGGAUUGGAGUCUGCAACUCGACUCCAUGAAGUCGGAAUCGCUAGUAAUCGCGAAUCAGCAUGUCGCGGUGAAUACGUUCUCGGGUCUUGUACACACCGCCCGUCACACCAUGGAAGUGGAUUGCACCAGAAGUAGAUAGUCUAACCUUCGGGAGGGCGUUUACCACGGUGUGCUUCAUGACUGGGGUGAAGUCGUAACAAGGUAGCCGUAGGGGAACCUGUGGCUGGAUCACCUCCUU
rnacentral:rRNA from 1 species